AGUGAACGCUGGCGGCGUGGUUAAGACAUGCAAGUCGAGCGACAGUAGCAAUACUGGAGCGGCAAACGGGUGCGUAACACGUGAGCAAUCUGCCCUGAAGUCUGGAAUAGCCCUGGGAAACUAGGAUUAAUACCGGAUGGUGAAGAGUCAGGCAUCUGAUUCUUUCCAAAGCUUGUAACGGCGCUUCAGGAGGAGCUUGCGGCCUAUCAGCUAGUUGGCGAGGUAACGGCUCACCAAGGCUAAGACGGGU
rnacentral:rRNA from 1 species